rnacentral:lncRNA from 1 species
GUCAAUGUGAUGUCAAAACUAGUGCAGUUUCUCAUUUUCAGAUGUAAAGACUCUUCGAAUUCUGGGUAAUGGCAAAGUGAUGGAAGAUGACACUGUCAGCCUGAACUGCUCUGUUGAGAGUCACCCACCAUCAUCUGAUCCUGUAUGGAGUUUCAAUGGAACCACAGAUAUAGUCAUGAACCAAACAUCUGCUGAAUCUUUCACGAUAACCAAUGUGAGAAAGGAGCAUGCUGGGGUUUACGGCUGUAUGAGGACAUAUAGAAACAAGAUACUGAAUGCAUCCAUCACUGUCGUUGUCAUUCGUGAUACAAAUGAAUCGAAAGUGAACGAGUCCUUCAGUCCUGGAAGUGAAAACAUG